rnacentral:lncRNA from 1 species
GCUUUGGCCACAUAUUCGCAGGCCUGGUGGUCUAGCUUUGUGUCCUUGCUCCAAAGCAGCCUUUGGCUGUAGACUCACGAACGAGGCCUUUUGCCUGUAUUAUACAUAGAACCCAUCCCACUGCCACUUCCGGCCUUGGCCGAGUGACUGACAAAGGGUGAACUGAUCCUGAUGACAAACAAAGGAGCAUGAUGUUUUCUCUGUAUCUAUUUCCGCUCCUCCCUCGAAGUCGGAAACGCGAUCCUCGGAACAGGGAUGAGUUGGGGUAUGGAGGGGAAAUCCACGUACAGUGACAAAAAAUACCCCACCUUCCUCCAGCUGAGCGACAAGGGUUUGGAACUGUGGGAAACUGUAACUCCUCCUUAAAAAUCAGCGCUGAAACAUUACCAGCCCAUGUUGACUUGGUGUUAUUUGGGCGACAAAGUGAAGAAAAGCCCAGCAGUCAGGUUUCUUGUAUUGAUCUAGUGCGAAUGUGGUUAGUCUGUGGACAGCCUUGGCAGGCCUGCAGGAGCUGGAGCGUGCGGCAGAGCUCCCAGCGGGCACUUGGGGAACACCGUUGUGACUCUUCAGGGGCCUCACUGAGGAGCUCAGCCUGACCGGACACACAGUCCUCACAUAGCUGUUGGGGGACAAAAGAUUUUAAAUUCACUCUACUACGCUGUUCGCAAAGGUCUGUUUUGUGAGCCAUCUGGAACUCAAAAGACUGAGUACCUAAUACUCAGUACUUAAUUGAAUACGGCUUUGAAGUCUGCAAGACGAGUUCUCAGACCUCUGCUCUGCCAUUCUCUACCAGUGGGACUGUGGGCAAAUGCCUUAAGCCUCCACGUGUUACCUGAAAAAUAGGGAUAAUAAGGUAGUUAUCUCAGGGUUUUUGUGAAAGUUGAGUGACUAUGUAAGGUGCUCAACAGAGAGCCUGGCAUGCGGUAAGAACUAGUCACUGAUAGCCGUAAUUAUUAACAGGUAAGUUCUGGACUCUUGGAGCAUCACCCACACCUCCUCCCUUUUCCUCCUUCUCCUUUCCACUCAUGAGUGAUAUUGGCUCUAUCUCCCCAUGGCUGGAAGCUCCAGGUGCAGAAGCCCCCAGUGGGACUGGGUCUCCCCUCUUCUUUUCCCAAGCCACACCUCAAGCCACCCUGCAAACGCAAGCCAUGUGGCGGCACACGUGUUUCCAAAAGGAGACGCUGUUUUUUUCAGCAGCCAGCUUCCUAUUUCCAGGCCCCUUUUGGCUGGCACACCGCAGACACAACCUCCUGUGUGUGUGGGGCCUGGAUCAUUGUGACACUGCAGAAUGAGAGGAACGAGCAGGGGAGGAGGAAACGGAGCUGUGGCUCAAGCCAAAGUCAACAGCACCCUGGAAGCUAAAGUACCCCUGGCCCAGAGCUGUUUACACUCAGCCCGUGGAGGAUUUCAACACCUGAAGCCACAGGGCCCAAGCGGGGCCACACCUGUCGGACUGCCCUGCUGGGCUGCAAUGGUCACGUCCCCUGGCAUGUAUGGGGCAGUGGGGAUGAGUUUUAGAGAGAAGGGAAAUUGGAUUGGGAGGUGGAAAGAUGCUCUGUGGUUCUUGCUUUCUGGGCUUCAGUUUCCUUUACUCUGCAGGAAAACAAGAGGAGAAAAGACAGCACCUGCCCCGUUGUGUGACAGAGUUGGAGAAGCAGAGACCCCACAGGGAAAGACUCAGAAACCAGCGGCUCUCACAACUCACACCUCACUGCUUCACUCUAAGGGAAACCAGAAUAAUUUUCUCUCUUGAUGUGUAAAAAAAAAUCUCAGAAAGGAUUCUAAUUGACACAAUCAUUACUCUUUCCACCUUGGACCAAUCAGCUGUGGUCAGGGGACAGUGUCACUGGCCACCCCAUCAGAACCACAUUUGUUUAUUCAAUUCAUCAAACCUCUUUUUAGGAAGUGGCUCAGCCUCAACACUUGCCCAGCUGCCUUCCGAGAACAUACUCUUGGGCAAGUCCCGUAGUGUCUCUGUGUGGCCUCAAAUUCCACAUCUGUAAAAUAGGGGCAGCCACAAGGUUGACACGAGGAUCGCCUGGGAUAAUAAAUGUCCCAGGCUUUUUAAGGCGGGCAUCAUGUGCACAAAUAUUUCUUUCGCUUAUUUGUCUUUCUCCCUGUGUCGUCUUUCUCCUUUGUCCUGCCUCCUUCCUAGGUCUCGUUUACUUCCUUUUUUCCAUGCUUAUACAUUAGGCCAGGGGUUUUCAAAUGUUUCCACUAAAAUGUUCCUAACAACCAAAAAGAAUAGAAAGAGUUUAGCCUCAAGUGCCCGGACGAGUGUGACAUUUCAUUGGCAUCUCACGCUUCCUUCUAAGAUUCAUGUAACUCCUGCAUUUGGCUCCAUCACACAUCGUGUGCAGCAGUUACGGUCCUGGGGGGAAAGCGGCACAGCUCAAUCCCGAGACCUCAGGCAGAACACGAAUUUAAGGGCCACUGCGGGUUCCGCAGGUGAACCGGAGAGUCGUGCUCUCCACGUACAGAAAACACGUCCAGACCACGGCUCCAGGGUUGCCCCAGGGAAUCCCCUGCAGCGUUGGCCUCGAACACAAACCCCACAGCUUGCCCGAGACAGCGCUGCUCGCUCUGAGCCCACUGGGGACCGGACGCUGAGGCUCUCCACGGCCGCACGUGGCAAACAGCGCCUUGGCGGCGGUGCUGCCAACACUUAGAUUCCUCGAGGCUCCUUCCUCAUGCAGCUUUCUGCCAAUUGAUGUCUUAUGUGAGUGCGCCUGCGCUGCACCGCCUAAGACACAGCCUACAAGGAAAGAUGGGAGAGCGAAUUCCUGCAGGACUCACGAGGUAGGGCAUUCUCCCAAUAGAGGAAAGACUUUCGGAACACACGAAGCGGUCAUAAAUAGGCUUCAUCUAUACGUCAUUAAAUAGUUAACAUUAUUUUUUAAUGACUAAUCUGCAGGUGAAAUGAAUGUUCCAGAAACAUAUGCUGUGUUUUCCUAGGCUUUGUGUACCUGUCACAGUCUGUAAUCUCAGGGAACAGCUACUCCAGUUUGACAAGCCAGGCUCUCCAGAGGCGUUGCUCAGCCUCACCAAGUGUACCCGGGGUUGAAGAACUAAGCCAUCCCCCCGAGAGGGAGAGUCCAGUUUCCCGCUCCUAGGGGUGGAAGCGCAUUCGCAACAGUAUGAAUAAUGCCAGCUAUAGAACUAUUAUUUGGGGCCAGUGGGGCUGACCUCCCUGAACUGUGUUAGCCUCACUAGUCCCACGGGGAAGAUCAUCUCCUAAUGUCUUCACCAACGUUGGUUUUCACGGCUUCCUUCCCUCCACCCUUUCCUGUGCAGGCUUAGAGCCUGGAAUUCAGGCCCGCCCAGCGUGCCUUGUGUCCAGUACUGUGUGCAGCAUCAAGCCCCUUCGCUAUCAUGGUCUGUAAUUCCUGUUGGAGUGGGACCCACUGGGAGAAAGUCAUGAAGAAGCUGGCACUCAUUUCUUGAAACUUUGACUUUUCUUACUUAUAUGUCCUGAAGUUUCAUCAUUUUCUUUGGCAGAAAGCCCCAAGGCCACAGUUGAAUCUUCGAAAGAAACAAAACAUGAUUCAAAUGUUCCCGUGGUUGAAGGUAGUAGGGUUGGCGCCAUGCAGGUCAACAUCUUCUCUGCAAAAUGCAGCUGAUGUUUUGCUAAGAGCAUGGCCCUGUCAUUGUUUGGAACCGAUUCUCUCUUGCAAACCCUCUCCAGGGAGCGGACUCUGAAGCCACUGGCCAGAUUUCAAAUAUGUACAUGCAGAAUGAGAGAUAUUUUUCCUGUCGGUCACUAGAAAUAGAACCCAGCCGAGAGCCCUAAAAUUGGAAAGUACAUGUCAUGACCGUUUCUUCCCCUAAAAAUAGAAAGACAGCUUUGCUGUGCAAGAGGCAGAACUUGGAGCCCUUGCCCGGGAAAGCCAGGAAAGCAGUGCUGGCUGGCAGGCUGGCAGCGUCUUAUCCUGGUGAGAGCCCGCUUCCCUGCUUGCAGAGGAGCCCCCUCUCCUGAGAUCUGACUUCAAGACCCCAAGCAUGGCCCUCCUGCUGCCCAGCCCUGCCAUAUUCCACAGGAAAGGGGUGACCCUUUCGUCUUUCACCAUCCUGCCCAGACCAGUGUGCUGGGUUGCCAAAGCUUGCCUUUGGCACAGGUCUGGGGUCAUUAAUACUAUGUAUACUAGCUCUAAGAAAAACCAAUGUUGUGGAGGAGGUGGCAGACAGAUACUUGAGCUGGUGCCGGUGUAGCUGAAUGGACGAGGAUACGGGUCCGAGUACUCUCACAUGAAUUUCAAACACGACUUGUGUUUCCUGAGACCAUACCAGACAGGGUGGCAAAAGGUGAUGCACUUGACAGCAGUAAAUCGUAUUUCACCAGUCUCACCUGCCAUUACAGGUUUCAGCUCUUCUCAGUGCCACUCAAGUAUUUCUGAGCUUUCUUGGGGGUAUGUCAAGAGCACUCACAAACAAGUCCUUGUCACUUCCAUUCAGUGCCUGCCAUUGCCCUCUCGUCCACCUCUGGCCUCUUCCACUGGAGUCCCAUGUCCAUGAUUCUUCAGCCAACAGUGCUGGAAGGACGCCUAUGCCCCACACCUCCUCGGUGCACUCAAGGCCACCACUUGGCCCCACAGCGCCUGGACGUCUUUGCUGCUCAGGUUUUUCUCAGAGCUUGUCUCUCCAGAACUCUCACAUUGAGUCCAUAUGGGGCUAGGCUCGCUGAUAGAGCCAAGUGACAUCACCGUACUGGAUCCAGAAUCAUCCAGCCCCUUCCACAACGAAUGCUUUGUUGUGAGGCCAAGCUCCUCUGCUAACAUUCUCUCUCUCCUUAGCGUUCCAGUCCCAGCUCUGCUGCCGACUUGCUGAGUGAUCUUGGACAAAGCAGUUAACCUCUCUGGGUUUCAAUUUACUUGUCUGUAGAAGAUGUGAGAUGUGCUAGCUGGUUCCUACAGUCCAUUCUGUUCCCGGAUUUGGUGACUCUUUGGAGGCACGGUGCCUUCUCCACCAGUACACAAGAAGAGUUAGCUACUCCACAUGCUGAGCGCUGGCCAGGUGCUCUGUAAAGAAGAAAUUGCUCUUAUGUUUCCUUUCUCUGACAAGAAACAGGCCUCUCUGUUCAUCGCUCUGCUUGAAAUCCUCCAAUGGUUUCCCAUCAAACUUAGAAAAACUCCAGACUCAGUGGCAUACUACCUUGGUGACAUCACCUCAUGUUCCUCCCUUCUUGUUGAAUACACUCCAGAUGCACCAGCCUCAUUCCACCCCUGGAACAAGCUGUGCCCCUUUACCCCACGGCCUUUGCACGUGUGCAUUGUCCUAUCUGGAGAGCUCGUCUCCCAGGCCACCCAUAACUGGCCCUUCUCAUCAUUCAGGUCCCCAGGGUGCCUUGCUUGAUGUCCUCCCUACUCUCCCCAGAUUGUCCUAUCCCAGGGCUUGGCACAUUAUGGUUGCGGGUCAAAUCUGUUGACACCCACUUAUUUACAUAUUGCACAUGGCUGCCUUUGUGUUGCAACAGCAGGACUGAGUACUACGUAGGCGUAGUGGCGACAGAGGCCGUACAGAACUGACGCUAUUUACCGUCUGGCCCUAGACAGGAAAAGUUUGCCAACCCUGAACUGUCCCACAGCCUCGUUUGUUCACAGCACAUAUCAGUAUCUGAAGUGAGAUGUCAGUCUGCUUCCUUGUGCUGUUUUUCUCCCUCUACUAGAAGUUCAUAAUAGAUUUUCAAGGAAAGAAUUUUUUUUCUUCAAAUCUUCAAGCAAAAAUGGUGAUCCGCAUCACACCAUGACUUUAUCCAUCCCUAGGCCACUCUGGCCUAGGCCCCCACCCCCACUGGUACUAAUACG